rnacentral:tRNA from 1 species
GCGGCGGCCACGUGCUCCGGCAGCACCUCCUUCUUCAGCAGGGUGCGCCGGGCGUAGUAGGCGCCGAGCUCGGACUCCGGGACGCCGUA